rnacentral:tRNA from 1 species
GGCUUCGUAGCUCAGCUAGUAGAGCGCAUGCCGCGUUUUGGUAUGGUGUUUCUGUCGUUGGUUCGAACCCAGCCGAAGCCC